GGGGAUUUAGCUCAGUGGUAGAGCGAUUGCUUAGGAAGCAAAGCGCAAGGCCCUGGGUUCGGUCCCCAGCUCCG
rnacentral:tRNA from 1 species